rnacentral:lncRNA from 1 species
AGCUUACCAUGAUAGCAAAUGAUUCUUGACAGUGCUAAGGUGAAUUAUUUCUAUACUCUUGGCAUCCCAGAAACCCGAUUAGUGGGGGAUGGGGGUCAAAUGGUAACCUUACAUCAAAGAAAUAAAUGUUUUGGGGGAGGAGGCUGAAAGUGAGCUUGAAGCCAAUCUCCCCACCCAAACCUUCAAGGGAUCAUGUCAUUGUUGGAAGUGACUUUAAGAAAUCAUCUAGUCCAACUCCAUUUUACCGAGAGGGAAUCUGAGGAUAAGUGGUUAGCCCAAGAUCAUAAAGGCAAGCUGUUUACCUCUUGCAGAGAUGAUGCUAAACUGAGGUGAAGUCAAAUGGAGCUGUCUCUUAGAGACAGAAAGGAUCUUAGACAGCCUUGCGUAAGCCUUUCAUUUUUUUCAAGAGGAAAUAGAGACCCAGAAUUAGUAUCAGAGCAGGAGUAAAGGGCCAGGUUUCCAGUUCCUUUCUUGUCAUAUGAUUGACAUUUGGGCCCCUCAGGAGCGCUGGGGUCCAGGUCCUUCCGGGUUUCAUGACUCAGGAAAAGCAGGGCUCGCAAGGAUCCAGCAUCCUUUCAACACAGUCCUCUGCCCACCCCUUGGCCUCUUGGUUGAAGUGACUUAACUAGGAGAUGUCACUUCAAAUCCC